rnacentral:rRNA from 1 species
UACAGAGGUCUCAAGCGUUGUUCGGAUUCAUUGGGCGUAAAGGGUGCGUAGGCGGCGCGGUAAGUCGGGUGUGAAAUCUCGGGGCUUAACUCCGAAACUGCAUUCGAUACUGCCGUGCUUGAGGACUGGAGAGGAGACUGGAAUUUACGGUGUAGCGGUGAAAUGCGUAGAUAUGGGGAGGAACACCGGUGGCGAAGGCGGCCAUCUGGACGGAUACUGACGCUGAGACGCGAAAGCGUGGGGAGCAAACAGG